AAAAACCCAAAGUUAAUGCCUAAACUUAACCUUAAACACUUAGAAAUGUGAAGUUUGCAACAACUGCAAAAUGUGAUGUUUUAGAAACAUGGAUGAAUGUCUAAUUGUAACGUGAGACAGAGCCAGUUGAGCCGAGUAGUAGUGGUGCGAAGCUAGCCGAGUAGUAGAAGUUUGAAGCUAAGUUGCUUGCUCUCUGCCUGCCUGCAUCUCAGGUCCAUCUCUCCCUUCAAUAUUUGAUGGAGGACGGUUUGAAUUAUGGAUGUUGCCUAUUGAAAAAAAACAGUGUUCAACAACAGCCCCAGUAGAACCACGGCAACAAGACACAAACAAAGACGUUUCCACAACUACAAGACCCAAAUCGGUGCUACACUACGGCAACGAAAAAGGGACAUUGGCUUAGUGGAACCCCCCGCAGCGCUCACUCUCCAGGUCAUAGAGUGAGUUCAUUGUUCAAGAUGGAUAAACAAAAAGCAAGAACGAGUGGUGCACAAAAAGAGUGCAAAAAAGCUUGAUCUUAUCAAGCUCAUGACAAAUUACAGAAGAUAACCAGUGCUUGAAUUGGACUGAAAUGGGUGCCGGUACUGUUUAUAUCUAGGUACAGUAGCUCCACAAUACCUUUGAGCUAAUAUUCUAUAAGAGGAACAGGAGCUCUAGCGGUAGAAGAUUUGAGGUGCUGGUGCUCAUCUCCGGUGAGCUCCUGACCAAGUCAAGCACAGCACAUUAGCAAAGCUACCACCUCGCCCUCGACUGAUGAAACACCAUCGCAGGUGGAAGCUAGUAGACCUACUUAUGCAGGAGCUAGCUAGCACUAGCAGCCUCCCAGUCCCGACAGAGACCUCACUGCCUGGGCCCAGCAAUGACAGUAGCCUUGCUCCUCCUCUACUUCUUCCUCCCCUCGAGAAUAGUGACAGUUCCUCUAGUGAGCGUGCCGGUCUUGUUUCUCCUCCUUCUCUCCCCCCAAAAACCAAGCUGACGACUGCCAGAGACCCAGCGAUGUUCAAAUCAAAUUUUAUGAGAGCAACCCACCUUCUGUGAAUAACUGUUUUCGCCCUCUGCCUCCUUUUAUAACCUGGAGCAGGAGCACAAGACGCAGGCUGUCGGUCCAAACAGCGAAGGUCUGAGCUGCAGCGCUCUGGUCGGAGCCAACUCUUUGAGACAAUUUAUGUUUGAUCCGAAAAUGUGGUCGGAGGCGCUUUAUGGAUGGUGUGACGCAGGCCUAAUUGAUGCUCUAUGCCACGUCGCCGUGCGCCUCUCAAAUGUUGUAACAAUGCGGAGGGCUCCGUGUAGCUCCGCACUUGCAUGAUUGGUUGACGGUAGGUGAGGGCGGGAGGUCCUGUAUAAACACAAACUCACCUCCUUGACAAGAGCUCUGCUCGGCGAAGCGCAAGAAGUAUGAAUGCCCUGACCAUAUCACCGCAAAUGCUGCACGGCCAAUAGGGACGUCGGAUUGACCAUGCAGUGCCUUUAAGUGGCGCCUGACCUAAACAUAGUUCGCCCUGCGUUCAGAGCUGUCAUUGUUUUUUGUUGUAGGUCUUGCUCCAAGCGUCACUCCCCAUGCUCCCCCGUGCUAGUGGUGAUUGUGGCGCCGCCAGGCAGCUGUUAUUCAUAUUUUUGAUCAAGUUUCGCCUGGUGAAUUGUAUUGCUCAUGACACCAUUCAAUGGGUGACCUGUCAUGACACCAUCCAAUAGGUGACCUGUCAGGAACCUGUGAUUUGUUGUAUAAGAAUUUGCCCCAAACAUAACGCUUUGUAUUCAGGACAAAAAGAUCACGCAAACACGAGGCAUGUAUUGGAAUAUUUUUAUUCCCUACAGGCCUCGUUCUUUUCACUGUCAUUUGGGUUAAUAUUGUGGAGUAAUUACAAUGUUGCCUAUCCAUCCUCAGUUUUCUCAUGAUCAAAACCAUUAAACUCUAACUGUUUUAAAAUCA